UGCCAGUUGCACAAUCAAUAGGAAUUAUUUUCUUAUCUUUCUAGUACUAAACAUGCCAAGAAAACAAUGGCCAUGCCUAGUAUUUUAACACUAAUAAUUUGCAGUUAUGUUUUCAAUGAUAAAAGUUAACAGAGACUGCAAUGGUUCAUAUGCCCCUAGAAGCUAUCUUGCCUCUUUAUUUUCUGAAAAAUGCAUGAGCUAAGCCUGGUAUUAUUCUGUUUUCAGAGAUGCUGCUGUUGAGAUUUGCUAAGACAUUAUAUGCACUAUCAGUGCCUGUCAUGGAGGGGCUUGGGACACAGAAGAUGGCCGGUGUACAGUUCUUAAUGCUGCCUGUUCCAGCUGCUGCAAGUUCUUAGGCUCCAGAGAAAUGGUCACCACGAGGCCAUCUCAGACACCCACUGUCUUACUGUCCUGCUCCUGUGGGUCAUGGCUCUCUGGCUUCCAUUAUCCAAAGAAAUACUACAUUAUGAAAAAGGGACAUGGAGAGAUGUAUGUGAGAACUGGUGGUACGAUUGUCCAAAGGUGACAUUCUCGAUGACCUGCUGGAGAGAGACUCUGCCAUUGUAUUGUGGAAUGUCAAGUCACACUGGCAAGAGAAACACCAGUUCACCGAACUACUUCUGUCUAGAAGGAGGCUCCGUUUUUGUUUCUCCGGAUUCAUAUGUGGUUUCUUAUUCACUUUGUGGGAAGCUGCUUUGGAAUAUUUUUGUUUCCUGAAUCUUCCUGCAAUCUUGACCCACAGUGGUUCUGGGGGUACACAGACAGCACAGGUCUCUGAUGAGUGAAUAAAGGAUUUGAAGCUCAACUCACCCACGACCCUAUUUGGAGACAUGUAAGAUGAUCGCCCUCCUGAGAGCACCUGUCACUCCAGAAUGGGAUGAGACCUACCACUUUGGGCUUCUUCCAGGAGCAGAAAACCAAUUAUAAAUAUGAAACAGAUUUCACUACUGGAACCAAACUUCACAUCCAAAAACAACAAACUUCUCAACCAAGAGUAUCUGAAAUAUAAACAGCAAGACCGAGGAUGUAAGAGCAACCACUCCACACCCGACUCUCUGUUCUGCCUUAGGAGUUUGGUAUGCAGGGCCUUUUUCCAGAGAGACCUGCAUGACACCCUCCGAGAGGGGAAAAACUGCUUUUAAACACCAUCCUUAAUUUAUGGGCUCCAUGUUAAUGACAUGGGUUGCAGAAAAUCCAGCCGGAAGACAGAUGUUCAAGAGUGACAGCUCAAUCAUUGUCCUCUGCUGGGAAGUGCUCCUGCGAUAGCAUUCCGUGGUGUCUGGAUGUUCAAGGUUCUAUUUUUUUAAUGUCAUAUGGGAAACCUCUAUCCUUCUCAAUUAAUUAGAAACACAGAAGAACACUCAUCAAAUGCUCAAGAUAGAAGUCCAUCCUUCAUACAACAUCCAUACUCCUGGGAAGCCAGGAGAAAUAAGAGAUUCCGCAAUAUCCCGUGCGGGUCUCACUGUGUCGUCCCUGGAUGGCCUGGAAUUGGCCACGUAGAACAGAAUGGCCUGAAAUUCACAGAGAUCCAUUCUCCUGCCUCUGCUCCCCACCCUCCAAGCACUGAGGUGCGUGGCUCCAAAUCUGGCCUCAAACUGCUAUGGCUGUCGGAGGUACUCCAUGGUGAUUUCAGAGGAUCUCUUUUCUAAGCAUUCCUGGUGCAAGGUACAUGAAUGAAUCCCAGAAGGAGAGCAUUGGUGUCUUUAGACUCCAUGUCCUAGUAUUUAAUUCCCUGACCUUUUCCUGUGUCCCCUGUCAGUCUUAGUUUAUGCAGCCAUUUUUAACAUUCGAAAUGUAUUUCUUUUUUGUUCUUAUCGAUCAUCUUUGUAUCAUUCAGUGCAAGCCUAGUGUGUACGGUUUGUUGUGCUUAUGUGAGGGAGAGAAAAACAACACAAUAAUGACUCAUAUCACUGAAGCUUUGCUUGUGAUAAUUGGGGCAGAGAGGAAGGAUGGAGUGGAAAUUGAGGAAAAGGGUCUUAGCCUGAAUUUUCCAAAUUGGUUAUUUAUCUGUUAAUUCUUCAUCUUUCCUCAUCACCAUGUCUGAAUUCAGAAAGUCUUCCUAAUGAUAAUAAACUGCGUCAAGAACAGAUGGCUGAUUUGAUGGGAUGAAAAUAGCUGUGUCAAUUGAGGGCAUUUUUUUCCUUACCCAUUUUGCUUUUCAUCACUCUGGGGUUGGUGGUUCAUGCUUUUUUCCCCUUGUACAGAAUGUACUCUCAGCCUAAUAAAAUACCGUGAAUCUCUCCCCCAAAGCAGUUUGGGCCCUUUUCUCUGAAAGACUUGAGAAGUGGCCUUUUGUUAUUAUUUCUGAGUAAUUUCUACCUUUCUUGCCUUCUCAGUUUUAGAUAAGUUACUUUUGGAAGGAUCAGUUUACAACAAAUGUUUAAUGUCAGGAAUUUUACAUUGUCAUGGGCCUGACAGCUUGGCCUGAGAAGAGGUGGGAUUAUGUCAAUUGUAAAUGAGUAUGCUAUUACAUACUAAUUAGACUUUGCACUAGUGGGGUGAAAGAGUGUCCUUUGGAACACCCCAGUUGUUGUGUUUAUAUGACUGUUGUCUAUUGAAACCAUCCAUUGUCUGGCAUUUUCCAGUCUCAUCUCCUCAAUGCCAAUUCAUAGCCUUUUACUUAAAAAUAUCCCUCCACUGCUCAUUGACAGAUACUCAGAAUAUCUAACAAUAAAAAAAAAAAAACUCUGUGAGUCACAUGCUUUGUCAUAGCACCUAGUUUGAUGGCACCAAUGACAAGGUAGGCUUGUCAAUUACAUCCUAAAUGCAAGACAUUUUGCUAAAAACGUCCUUUACAUUUUAAGUUUUCCUGACCUUCAAAAGAAUAUGAGAAUAUGUUUUAUAACAUUUUUUUUCUGAGGAGAUUGGAGUUGCACAGUUCAUAAAUGUAGACAUCGGGAGUCUGUUGUCCAAUUUUUCAGCCACCUUUGUUACCUAUAGCCAAGCCCACAGAUUCGCACACUACUCUGUUCACACUGGGUGAGGGUCACUUUUGUCUAUUUACUCAUGGUCAGUGUGUUAAGCAAAAAAGUAGACAUGCAUAUUACCAGUGUGUUAUUUCUUUUCUACCCUCUGAAAACAUCACCAUUUCAGGUUCAUAUACCAGAUACCUUUCCAUAGACUUCCACAAGUGCAGUGCGAAGCUGACUCAGUAACUCUCACAGUGUUGCCGGCUUAUGAAAGGAAAAGUGAUUAAUAGUCUAGUUAGCUAUUUUACUCUCUUGCUUCGGCAGAAGGUAGUUUAUUAGACUUGGCUAAUGACGUUUUCCCUCUGUUGCUAGAUAAGAAGCAGAAUCAACAAUGUGUCACAUCUGUGUGGGAGCUGGCUCAACAAGGAGCUCAGCCACAUAGAGCAACAUCUGAUGGUUUCUGACUGUUUCCUGAUUGGGUUGGGCGGAGGCCAUCUAUGUGGAUGCUUCUGUCCUGAGAGCACAAAGCUGUGUAUGUUAGGCAUUGUCCACAGAGUGACAUCACUUCCUAAAAGAAAUGAUAGAAAAGGGUGGGUGAGAUGUCCCCCGUGAAAAGCACUUGCAGCUAAGCCCAAUGACCUGAUUUUAAGCCCUGAGACCCACAUAAUAGAAGGAGAAAAACAACUCUCACAGGUUAUCUUCUGGCUUCCAUACAAGUUUCAUGCCACAUGCCACAUGCGUGCCCUCACACAAUAAUUAUUUUUUAAUGAAAAUGACAGAUAUAGCCUUGAUAGUUAACAUCAGAAUACCUUGCUAUGAGGGUUAUGUGACUCCUUCCUUACUCUUUCCUUACUAUUUUCAAUAACUUUUAAGGUUGAAAUAAUUCCAUAAUGGAGUAAAAAGUAAAAUCCAGGGAAAAGAAAAACAGAACAUACAGCUUAGCUCCCAUAAUUCCCAGCAAGCAGAGCACAUUUCCUGAAUGCGACAUAGUCUUGCUCACAGACGUGCCAAAACAAAAAAAUACAAAUCUAAAAUUUGAGCUGAUAACUUAGAUUGUGGCAGAGAUAGCAACUUGUGAAAAGUCACAAUUUUGCAUUGUGCUGGGAAGCCACCUUCUGUGGGGGACUACUGUCACUCUUUAAUACCCAGCAGAGGCACCCCACUGUGCUUUGUCAGUCAGGAGCAACAUCCAAGGCUCUCUGUAAAAGUAAUUCACACUUUUCUCACAACACUGUUGCUUUAAUUACCACUGAACUCUGCGGAUGCUCAGGCAGGCCUGGUAGGACAUGGCAGAGGCACAGAAAAAGCAAAUGGCUUUUCUCUUUCUUACUUCAUGAUUAGCAGCUCAUCUUUGAUGGAAGGGUUCCUAGUUCUGAAUCCUGGACUUAACUCCUUUUGGCAUAUUUAUUAUCAAGAGAAACACAGAUGUGUGUGUGUGUGUGUGUGUGUGUGUGUGAGAGAGAGAGAGAGAGAGAGAGAGAGACAGACAGACAGACAGACAGACAGACAGACAGAAAGACAGAGACAGAGACAGACUGACAGAUUGACAAAGACAGAGACACAGAGACAGACAGAUAGACAGACACUCAGACAGACAGACAGACAGACAGAGAGAA